rnacentral:rRNA from 1 species
ACGUACACUCCUACGGGAGGCAGCAGUGGGGAAUAUUGGACAAUGGGCGCAAGCCUGAUCCAGCCAUGCCGCGUGAGUGAUGAAGGCCCUAGGGUUGUAAAGCUCUUUCACCGGUGAAGAUAAUGACGGUAACCGGAGAAGAAGCCCCGGCUAACUUCGUGCCAGCAGCCGCGGUAAUACGAAGGGGGCUAGCGUUGUUCGGAUUUACUGGGCGUAAAGCGCACGUAGGCGGACUAUUAAGUCAGGGGUGAAAUCCCGGGGCUCAACCCCGGAACUGCCUUUGAUACUGGUAGUCUUUAGUUCGAGAGAGGUGAGUGGAAUUCCGAGUGUAGAGGUGAAAUUCGUAGAUAUUCGGAGGAACACCAGUGGCGAAGGCGGCUCACUGGCUCGAUACUGACGCUGAGGUGCGAAAGCGUGGGGAGCAAACAGGAUUAGAAACCCCGGUAGUCCCAUGAU